rnacentral:rRNA from 1 species
CAAAGCACUUUGAAGAGAGAGUUAAAGAGGACGUGAAACCGGUAGGAUGGAAACGGAUAGAGCCAGCGAAGUCGCUCGUAUUCAGCCAACUGCCUGGGGCAUCGGUGUGUCGGGUUGCUAAUCACGCCUGGCUCGCCUUUUGCCUCUGGUUGAGGUGCAUUUGCGGGCGUUUGCGCUGAGACUUGCGGGCCAGCUUCUGGACCCGGGCCUAGAGGCCGUCCUCUGGGCGGAACUUGGGCACGGCGACGGUUGUUUGACCUGCUCGUACCACGGCUUGGCCUACGGACCGGGGCUCUGUCGUUGCCGUCGGGCGUUGGCAUCGCAUGCGAUGACUCGUCCGGUGGUUGCGGCGGUGUUUCGCGUUCCCAAGUCGGCUCUCGGUGUAAAAGCUGGUCACCUAUCCGACCCGUCUUGAAACACGGACCAAGGAGUUUAGCGUAUACGCGAGCCAUUGGGUGUUCAAACUCACAGGCACAAUGAAAGUAAAGGCCCAGCCGCUGGGCUGACAUGCGAGUCGGUGGGCUCCGGCCUGCCGAUGCAGCAUGGUCCCGUUCCAGUCGCUUGCGACGGAGCGGAGACAGAGCGUAUGCGCUGAGACCCGAAAGAUGGUGAACUAUUCCUGAGCAGGAUGAAGCCAGAGGAAACUCUGGUGGAAGUCCGAAGCGGUUCUGACGUGCAAAUCGAUCGUCUGACU